rnacentral:rRNA from 1 species
GCGAAACUGCGAAUGGCUCAUUAUAUAAGUUAUCGUUUAUUUGAUAGUACCUUACUACUUGGAUAACCGUGGUAAUUCUAGAGCUAAUACAUGCUAAAAAUCCCGACUUCGGAAGGGAUGUAUUUAUUAGAUUAAAAACCAAUGCCCUUCGGGGCUCACUGGUGAUUCAUGAUAACUCCUCGAAUCGCAUGGCCUUGUGCCGGCGAUGGUUCAUUCAAAUUUCUUCCCUAUCAACUUUCGAUGUUUGGGUAUUGGCCAAACAUGGUUGCAACGGGUAACGGAGGGUUAGGGCUCGACCCCGGAGAAGGAGCCUGAGAAACGGCUACUACAUCCAAGGAAGGCAGCAGGCGCGCAAAUUACCCAAUCCCGACACGGGGAGGUAGUGACAAUAAAUACUGAUACAGGGCUCUUUUGGGUCUUGUAAUUGGAAUGAGUACAAUUUAAAUCCCUUAACGAGGAACAAUUGGAGGGCAAGUCUGGUGCCAGCAGCCGCGGUAAUUCCAGCUCCAAUAGCGUAUAUUAAAGUUGUUGUGGUUAAAAAGCUCGUAGUUGAACCUUGGGCCUGGCUGGCCGGUCCGCCUCACCGCGUGUACUGGUCCGGCCGGGCCUUUCCCUCUGUGGAACCCCAUGCCCUUCACUGGGUGUGGCGGGGAAACAGGACUUUUACUGUGAAAAAAUUAGAGUGCUCCAGGCAGGCCUAUGCUCGAAUACAUUAGCAUGGAAUAAUAGAAUAGGACGUGUGGUUCUAUUUUGUUGGUUUCUAGGACCGCCGUAAUGAUUAAUAGGGACAGUCGGGGGCAUCAGUAUUCAAUUGUCAGAGGUGAAAUUCUUGGAUUUAUUGAAGACUAACUACUGCGAAAGCAUUUGCCAAGGAUGUUUUCAUUAAUCAGGAACGAAAGUUAGGGGAUCGAAGACGAUCAGAUACCGUCGUAGUCUUAACCAUAAACUAUGCCGACUAGGGAUCGGACGGUGUUAUUUUUUGACCCGUUCGGCACCUUACGAGAAAUCAAA